CUACGGGCUGCACCAGUGAGGAAUAUUGCACAAUGGAGGAAACUCUGAUGCAGCAACGCCGCGUGGAGGAUGACGCAUUUCGGUGUGUAAACUCCUUUUAUAUGUCAAGAAAAUGACGGUAGCAUAUGAAUAAGCACCGGCUAACUCCGUGCCAGGCAGCCGCGGUAAUACGGAGGGUGCAAGCGUUACUCGGAAUCACUGGGCGUAAAGGACGCGUAGGCGGGAUAUCAAGUCAGGUGUGAAAUCCUACAGCUUAACUGUAGAACUGCACUCGAAACUGGUAACCUAGAGUAUGGGAGGGGGAGAUGGAAUUAGUGGUGUAGGGGUAAAAUCCGUAGAUAUCACUAGGAAUACCUAAAGCGAAGGCGAUCUCCUGGAACAUAACUGACGCUAAGGCGUGAAAGCGUGGGGAGCAAACAGGAUUAGAUACCCUCGUAGUC
rnacentral:rRNA from 1 species